rnacentral:rRNA from 1 species
GCCUGGCCAUAAACCUUAAAUUACACCCCAUCGCCAAGGAACUACGAGCAAUGCUUAAAACCUAAAGGACUUGACGGUACCCCACAUCCACCUAGAGGAGCCUGUCCUACAAUUGAUUCUCCCCGCUUAACCUCACCACUUCUAGCUUAUCAGCUUGUAUACUUCCGUCCUAGCUUACCGUGUGAACGACCAGUCAGCCCAAACGUCCUCAAACCAAUACAUCAGGUCAAGGUGCAGCAAAUGAAGUGGGAAGAGAUGGGCUACACUCUCUAACCUAGAAAACACGAAAAGUCACAUGCAAUCUGACUAGAAGGCGGAUUUAGCAGUAAAAAGAAAAUAGAGCGUUCUUUUAAACACGGCACUGGGGUGCGUACACACCGCCCGUCACCCUCCUCAAACACAACAGCAGUAAUUCACAAGCAAAAUAAUAAAGAGGAGGCAAGUCGUAACAUGGUAAGCGUACCGGAAGGUGUGCUUGGAAA